CCCGGUUCAGCCGGCCCCGACGUAGAGUCGCGCCGCGGAGCACCACCGAGAGCGUGCAAGCGAGCAAUGUCGGCGUGUCGCGGGGAAGGGAGUUCCUGAGGCCACCGAACGGCAGCCUGCGGUGCAACUCUGCCGGGAGGCGCCCGCACCUCUGUCCCGCGCAGCCUUCUCCCAGUGCGUGCAGGGCGGGCCGGUAGGCAAGGAGACGCCGCUGGACUAACGCCUCACCAUUGCGGCCACAGAAGCUGCGAUUGAAGCCGUGCGCACAGAUCUCAGGCACCGCGGACGCCGACGUGCCGUGGUACAGGACCUGCUCUGCAGGGUGCUGCGUGCAGCGUUGCACCAGACGAUCCCGGUGCAGCUGGUACUGCUGCUCCAGCAGCGGGUGGGACACACGCUGCACCUGCAAGGUGAGUGGCAGAGCCGGCUUUAUUGGCAGUUCCUCCGUACACCGUGGAUGACCUAGGAUGGAGCUGAGCUCAGCCAUCAGGAACCUUCUGGUGGAGGACUUCAGACCUGGGAGAGACCUUGUAGCCCCCAACGUACCACCUUCAUGGGGCAAGUGGCAUGGAAAGGCUUCCAGAGAUGCCUAACCCUCCAGGGAGGACUGUAGUAGGGUAAACUCCAUCUGCUCUACAACUGUUCAAUGAAAAACCCAGCAAGGUGCCUAUAUGGCCUUCAGGACUUCAUUCCCAACACCAAGAGAUGCCCACAGACCCGUCAAUCCUGGAAGACCCAGGUGGGAGAUAAGGCCUUGAGCAGCCAACCCAAUGGUCAGUUCUAGAGGAACAAACUCAGGAACCCAAACAGAUAGAAUUUUUGUUUGCUUGUUUGAACAAGCCUGAACAAAACUAACUGUUGUGAAACAGUCUAAAAAUAAGAGUUUCCACGUUAAAAAUGGGACUGUUGCCAGGGGUGGUGGUACAUGCCUAUAAUCUCAGCACUCAGGAGGCUGAGGCAGAAGGAUUGCUGAGUGUUCAUAACAAACCUGGGCUUAUAUAGUGAGUUCAGGGACAGCCUAAAUUACAUAAAACAAAUAGCCUGCCUCAACAAACAAACAAAAACAAGAAUAAGAUUGCUCAGCUGGAGGUUCAACUUGGAGGAUUGGGUCUCCUCCUGCACAACAGGAGGAGGAGGGAGAAGUAAGAGGAGAGGAUUGCUCAGCAAAAUUCUUUGGGUGAGCCAGAUAAUGAAUGGUGAAAGUUGAAGAUUCAGCCAGAGGAUCUGGAUGGAAAUAAGGAAAUGAUGCAGAGAGCAGGGUUGCAGGAAAGGAAGUAGCAAAUGAUGAGUGACCACGAGUGAGGCAGGUGAAGGAAGCAAGCCUGUGUCACAGGACCUCCCCCAGAAGAUAAGAGACAGCGUGGGACACACAGUGAAGGACCAUUUCUCUGAGCUGAAGGCAUUACCUCCAGAUGGGGAGGAGCCAAGAAGAGUGGUGGGAAAGAUGCGCCUCUGGAACCUCAACCUUUGAAAUGAGGAAAACUACAAGCGUAAAGCCAAGGUCAAUAUAAAAGGGGUUUAGCUUAUUGAUACAAGCACCUACCUGGCAAGCUCAAGGUCGUGAGUUCGACCCCUGGUACCCAAAAACAAACAAAUAAAUUUUAAAAAUAUAAAAGUUGAAAGAAAA